GACGAACGCUGGCGGCGUGCUUAACACAUGCAAGUCGAACGAAGAGGCGAACGGGUGAGUACUAAGUGGGUAACCUGCCCUCCUUUUGGGGAUAAGCCUUUGAAACGGGGUCUAAUACCGAAUACAGGGGGAUGGGCUCUCGGCCUAUCAGCUUGUUGGGGGGGUGAUGGCCUACCAAGGCGGUGACGGUUAGCUGGCCUGAGAGGGUGACCGGCCACAUUGGGACUGAGAUACGGCCCAGACUCCUACGGGAGGCAGCAGUGGGGGAUAUUGCACAAUGGGCGAAAGCCUGAUGCAGCGACGCAGCGUGAGUGAAGAAGGUUUUCGGAUCGUAAAGCUCUUUGGUUAGAGAAGGAGGAUAUAACAAGAAAGCCACGGCUAACUACGUGCCAGCAGCCGCGGUAAUUC
rnacentral:rRNA from 1 species